AGCAGAUUUUUUGAUAGUCGGAAUUAAUAUUUUGGAUAGAUUUAAUUUUUGAAUGAAACACUUCCUUCUCGUUCAUUGCAUUAUCUGUUGCACUUCAAAUGCACAUAUUUAUGUUUAUCUGUUGUAGGGUUGCCAUACAACAAGUAUUAUUCGAAAUUGUAGGUAUUUUGGCUGUCAUUCCAGAAAAACUUUGUAUUAUUUUGAUAUUAGUUAAGUAUUGAUUUUUGGAAAAUAUAAUAUUUUAGAAACAUGAUAACAAAAGUUAUCAUAGGUUUUUUAAGACUGUUUCUGGAAUGACAUUUGUUGGGUUUUGUUUACUUCAAGGUCUGAUACAGAAGAAACUGGAGUAAUUUUCAUUUAAUUAAUUAGAGAUUUUUAUUGUUCAUUCGUUUGCCACCCGGCUUUUGUUUUGGGUCCUUUAAAUUCGAGAUCAUUCAGUGCGGCGUUCUUUCUGUGACGAGAUCCUCUUGAAUAGUGAUCGGACGGCCGUAUAAAGGGUCUGGAGCCCGGCAUGCCACGUGCUGCCGUGGCGUUCCAUAUUUUGUGUGGUGCUGUUUUGUCAGUCUGAGUAAGUAGAUUUCAUUGUGAGCUUUUAAUAUUUCCAUGGCGUGAAACGUGGAGAUGUUCUUAACCAUAAAUUGGUUUAUUUCCAGCUGGCAGAAACAUGCUAAGGGUGGGAGUGCUCCGUGGAGAUCCUCGGUCUGCAGUCUGCAGGUCUUCGGAGUCGGGCAGAAUUACAGAAGUAGAUAAUUAAACAAGAACCUUUACAAUUUUGAUGUGCAAGGAAACUUCUUUGGCUUACUGGCGCAAGGUGUCUUUGGACCUUGUUUUCGUAUGGAAGGGUCAGCCCUGUCCACGUGGCGAGGGGGCGUCAGCACCGGAGUCCGGGGAGCAGCCGGCUCAUCCCUGACAAGGUGUGUCUCCUGCCCGUUUCCUGCCGGUAGUGCUGUGUAAUUCAGGUUUUUAAUUUCUGUGUAAAGUAAUUUCUGAUUUCAUUUAUUUUGAGAAUUCUGGUGCAUAACUUUAGGUAAAUU